rnacentral:rRNA from 1 species
AUUGAACGCUGGCGGCAGGCCUAACACAUGCAAGUCGAGCGGAUGAGGGGAGCUUGCUCCCUGAUUUAGCGGCGGACGGGUGAGUAAUGUAUAGGGAGCUGCCCGAUAGAGGGGGAUACCAGUUGGAAACGACUGUUAAUACCGCAUAAUGUCUACGGACCAAAGUGUGGGACCUUCGGGCCACAUGCUAUCGGAUGCACCUAUAUGGGAUUAGCUAGUUGGUGGGGUAACGGCUCACCAAGGCGACGAUCCCUAGCUGGUUUGAGAGGAUGAUCAGCCACACUGGAACUGAGACACGGUCCAGACUCCUACGGGAGGCAGCAGUGGGGAAUAUUGGACAAUGGGCGCAAGCCUGAUCCAGCCAUGCCGCGUGUGUGAAGAAGGCCUUCGGGUUGUAAAGCACUUUCAGCGAGGAGGAAGGGAUGUAUGUUAAUAGCAUGCAUUUUUGACGUUACUCGCAGAAGAAGCACCGGCUAACUACGUGCCAGCCGCCGCAGUAAGAC